rnacentral:misc_RNA from 1 species
GUAGGUGAACCUGCGGAAGGAUCAUUUCUGAACUAAGGUUUAGAUUGAGAAGGGAAAGUGGCUUUAUUGCUGCAAUCUCUUUUCUUUCUUUUCCUUAUCAAAGAGAGUGUGUGGUAUAAAUGAAAAGGAAAAUUUGAAAAUGGGAAUUGAAUUGGGGUUAAAACUCGAUUUCAAUUGUCAACUUUCUGUUUCCUAAUCUACUUUUAUAAACCAAAACAAGUUACUUUUUGUUCAAAAACAAAACGUCUUUGGCUUCUUUUUUUUUGAUUUGUUUAAUACGACAUUUGUUUGGUUUACUCCAAUACCUGUUUUAUUAUUUAAAAAAAAAUGAGAGUUGACAAAAACACAAAAAACGACAUACAACUGUCAACGGUGGAUCUCUUGGCUCGU